rnacentral:rRNA from 1 species
GAUGAACGCUGGCGGCGUGCCUAAUACAUGCAAGUCGAGCGAACAGACGAGGAGCUUGCUCCUUUGACGUUAGCGGCGGACGGGUGAGUAACACGUGGAUAACCUACUUAUAAGACUGGGAUAACUUCGGGAAACCGGAGCUAAUACCGGAUAAUAUAUUGAACCGCAUGGUUCAAUAGUGAAAGACGGUUUUGCUGUCACUUAUAGAUGGAUCCGCGCCGCAUUAGCUAGUUGGUAAGGUAACGGCUUACCAAGGCAACGAUGCGUAGCCGACCUGAGAGGAUGAUCGGCCACACUGGAACUGAGACACGGUCCAGACUCCUACGGGAGGCAGCAGUAGGGAAUCUUCCGCAAUGGGCGAAAGCCUGACGGAGCAACGCCGCGUGAGUGAUGAAGGUCUUCGGAUCGUAAAACUCUGUUAUUAGGGAAGAACAAAUGUGUAAGUAACUAUGCACGUCUUGACGGUACCUAAUCAGAAAGCCACGGCUAACUACGUG